UGGAAUGUGUGGUAGCAAUGCAUCAAGC
rnacentral:piRNA from 2 species